CACGUCAUCCAUGGACCUCCUAUUCAUUUUCACUCUGCUAAAGGUAAACUUCUGAUUUCGCACUUUCUCACUUUAGUACUCUAUGAUUUAAAGUGUAUCAAGUUAGUAUCGUGUGAUUUCAUUUUUAUUUCGUCAGCUUUUUCGUUAAUAUUUUGUUAAAUUAUUAUAUAUAAAAAACUUUAGAUAUCUUACCUAGAUUUAUAAAAUAUUUAUUUUAGUACUUUUUAGUUUUAACUUGGUUACUGAUUUAACAAAAAAAUUAGUAAAAUUAAUAAUAAAAAAAUACAAAUAAAAUUAUAAAAUAUUAAAUCAAUACACUUUAAACCAUAUGGCAUUAAAAUGAGAAAGUAUGAAACUAUAUAGGUGGUAUUUGAAUUUUAUUUUAAAAACAAGAAAAAAGUAAGUGGGGAGUUCACAAUUUCACAUGGUGGAGAUAGUCCAAGGAAUCAUAUUCACCUUUAGUGGGAGCUCUCUUGUCUUAUGCUAGUUUUGUUUAUAUUCAAAAAAUUUUAUUCUUCGCUAUAAAAUUAAUUGUUUUUUAAAAAAAUAGUUUUAAAAAAAUAUCCAACGAUUUUUCAAUGGAGGCAAAAUUAAUAUGUGAUGGCACAUCCGUAACUCUCCAAUUAAGACGCUGUUGCGGAGCUCCCUACUAAAAUUUUAUCGCAAACAUGAUAAAAUAAUGUUUCUUUAGUUAUCUUACUAUAUCAUUAACUUUUUGUUUAUUUCAAAUUUACUAUUAUAUCUAUAAUUUGAUUCUACUAAUCUAGCAUAUUAUUAUUUAAUUUAAUUUUUAAAAAACUAAUUU
rnacentral:lncRNA from 1 species